UUCAGAUAUUUCCUAAAGCAAGAAGUUCCUGACAUUGAGGAGACAGCGAUUUGUUGACUGUCUUUAUCCAAAUUUGCUUCCCAGAUCCUCAAUAAUAUAUUUCAUAUAAUAUAUAUUUCAUAUCAGGUUGGUGUUUUGACUCAGUUUUCCAGGUCAUUGAAGGUAAUUGCUUAAAACUCUUUCUCGUGCCUAGACAGACAAGACCUAUAUGUUGGUAAGUUUGGUUUGUUCUUUUUAUAUAAAUCCUGGCAGGAGUAUAUAGAUAACAUUUAUCUUUUUUAUUGCAGUGAUGAUAUGCUCGCUUAAGGAAAUCCAGGAAAUACGGAAAAAAUGCAAAAGAGAAAACUAAAAGGCCCAAACCUUAGGGAGAAUUACUAUUAAUAUUUGCUGGUGGAUGUCCUCCUUUGUGAAAUGCCUGUUCAAGGCUUCUGCCUAUUUUCCUCUUCAGUUGUCUGCUUUUCAUGCUGGGGGCGGUUGGAAGAGGAGGAGUAGCGUAGGAGUUCUUUGUGUCAUUGGAUGAGUUCUCCGUCAGACCACUUGAUCUGGAGGAAGCCAGCUGCCAUAGCAUGAGGACAGUUAGUGGACUAUGAAGAGGCCCAGGUGGUUAGGAAGUGAGGACCUCUGCGAACAGCUGAAGAAGAACUGGCCUUUUGUCAACAGUUCCAUGCUGUUUUUGUACAACAGAAGCUAUAUAAGCACCUACUUACCAGCACAGUACCACAGAUGCUACAAGGGAGAUCCUUUACCAAACGCCACAGUAUCCAACAAAACUGAAGAUACACAUACCACCAGAAAGGUUAUCAGAAUCCUGCUCCUAGACAUGCAUGCAACAGAAAUAGGUGCACAUGUACAUCAAAAGACAUGUAUAUGGAUGUGGAGAAAAGGGAACCCUCCUACACUCUUGGUGGGAUUAUAAAUUGGUGCAGCCACUAUGGAAAACAGUAUGGAAGAUCUUCAAAAAAUUAAAAAUAGAACUGUUACCAGUUUUGAUUCCCUCUCAUGGGACUUAAACCCACAAUUAGAAGGGACCCAAGGAAGAACCCAG
rnacentral:lncRNA from 1 species